GUCCGGCUGGCCUAGUGGUUAGGGCGUCUGUCUUACACACAGAAGAUCACAGGUUCAAACCCUGUGCCGGACA
rnacentral:tRNA from 2 species